AUACGUAGGGGGCGAGCGUUGUCCGGAUUUACUGGGCGUAAAGGGUGAGUAGGCGGUUGCAUAUGUCAGAUGUAAAAGGCACAGGCUUAACUUGUGUUAGCAUUUGAAACUGUGCGACUUGAGUGCAGGAGAGGUAAGUGGAAUUCCUAGUGUAGCGGUGAAAUGCGUAGAUAUUAGGAGGAACACCAGUGGCGAAGGCGACUUACUGGACUGUAACUGACGCUGAGUCACGAAAGCGUGGGUAGCAAACAGGAUUAGAUACCCUGGUAGUCCACGCUGUAAACGAUGAGUGCUAGGUGUUGGCCAGCGAUGGUCAGUGCCGAAGUAAACACAAUAAGCACUCCGCCUGGGGAGUACGGUCGCAAGACUGAA
rnacentral:rRNA from 1 species